rnacentral:tRNA from 1 species
GCGGAAGUGGCGGAAUUGGUAGACGCGCUGGCUUCAGGUGCCAGUGGUGGCAACACCGUGGAGGUUCGAGUCCUCUCUUCCGCAUCA